rnacentral:rRNA from 1 species
GAUGAACGCUGACAGCAUGCUUAACACAUGCAAGUCAACUUGAAUUUGGGUUUUUAACUUAGGUUUGGGUGGCGGACGGGUGAGUAACGCGUAAAGAACUUGCCUCACAGCUAGGGACAACAUUUGGAAACGAAUGCUAAUACCUAAUAUUAUGAUAAUAGGGCAUCCUAUAAUUAUGAAAGCUAUAAGCGCUGUGAGAGAGCUUUGCGUCCCAUUAGCUAGUUGGAGAGGUAACGGCUCACCAAGGCGAUGAUGGGUAGCCGGCCUGAGAGGGUGAGCGGCCACAAGGGGACUGAGACACGGCCCUUACUCCUACGGGAGGCAGCAGUGGGGAAUAUUGGACAAUGGACCAAGAGUAUGAUCCAGCAAUUCUGUGUGCACGAUGAAGUUUUUCGGAAUGUAAAGUGCUUUCAGUUGGGAAGAAAGAAAUGACGGUACCAACAGAAGAAGUGACGGCUAAAUACGUG